rnacentral:rRNA from 1 species
UCCUAGUAAAGUGGCGGAAGGGUGAGGAAUGGGUCGAUAACGUACCCUUUAGAUGGGGAUAACGGUCCGAAAGGACCGCUAAUACCCGGUAAGACCACGAUGGGGCAUCCCAUUGAGGUCAGAGGCGGAGGACCUUCGGGCUUCGCGCUAAAGGAUCGGUCGACUCCCUACCAGCUAGACGGCGGGGUAACGGCCCACCGUGGCUGCGACGGGUACCCGGGCUUAGAGGCUGACCGGGCACAUCGGCACUGAGACACUGGCCGGACACCUACGGGUGGCUGCAGUUCGGAAUAUUCGGCAAUGGACGCAAGUCUGACCGAGCGACGCCGCGUGCGGGAUGAAGGCCCUCUGGGUUGUAAACCGCUUUAGACAGUGAGCAAGUCAUGCCGGGCUAAUAACCCGGUAUGUUGAGUUAAGCUGUUAAAUAAGCCCCCGCUAAUCACGUGCCAGCAGCGGCGGUAAUACGUGAGGGGCGAACGUUGUUCGGUGUCACUGGGCUUAAAGGGCGCGUAGGUGGUUGCAUAAGUAAGGUGUGAAAUCCCUCGGCUUACCCGGGGAAUUGCGCCUUAUACUGUGUGACUUGAGGGCCAUAGGGGAACGGGGAACUCCAGGUGUAGCGGUGAAAUGCGCAGAUAUCUGGGGGAAGGCCGGCGGCGAAGGCGCCGUUCUGGAUGGUACCUGACACUGAGGCGCGAAAGCGUGGGGAGCAAACAGGAUUAGAUACCCUGGUAGUCCACGCCCUAAACGAUGGAUACUA